rnacentral:tRNA from 1 species
GCCUGGGUGGCUCAGUCAGUUGAGCAUCCGACUUCGGCUCAGGUCAUGAUCUCGCGGUCUGUGAGUUCAAGCCCCGCUUCGGGCU